rnacentral:rRNA from 1 species
GUUUUUCGCUCUGAGAUAAGCUCGCGUGAGAUUAACUAAUUAAUGAGGUAACGGCUCACCAAGGCGACGAUCUCUAACAGGUCUGAGAGGAUGAUCUGUCACACUGGAACUGAGACACGGUCCAGACUCCUACGGGAGGCAGCAGUAGGGAAUAUUGCACAAUGGAGGAAACUCUGAUGCAGCGACGCCGCGUGAGUGAUGAAGGACUUCGGUUCGUAAAGCUCUGUCGUAUGGGAAUAAGAAAGUG